GCUGGGAUGGCUCAGUCAGUAGAGCAUGAUACUCUUAACCUCAGGGUUGUGGGUUCAAGUCCCAUGUUGGACA